rnacentral:rRNA from 1 species
UACGUAGGGGGCGAGCGUUGUCCGGAUUUAUUGGGCGUAAAGAGCUCGUAGGCGGUUUGUCGCGUCGGCCGUGAAAUCUCCACGCUUAACGUGGAGCGUGCGGUCGAUACGGGCAGACUUGAGUUCGGUAGGGGAGACUGGAAUUCCUGGUGUAGCGGUGAAAUGCGCAGAUAUCAGGAGGAACACCGGUGGCGAAGGCGGGUCUCUGGGCCGAUACUGACGCUGAGGAGCGAAAGCGUGGGGAGCGAACAGG